rnacentral:rRNA from 1 species
CAACAGAGAGAAGCAAUACCGCGAGGUGGGGCAAAAACUUCAAAAAUAGGUCUCAGUUCGGACUGUAGGCUGCAACUCGCCUACACGAAGUUGGAAUUGCUAGUAAUCGUGGAUCAGCAUGCCACGGUGAAUACGUUCCCGGGUCUUGUACACACCGCCCGUCACACCAUGGGAGCUGGUAACACCCGAAGUCAGUAGUCUAACCGCAAGGAGGACGCUGCCGAAGGUGGGAUUAGCGACUGGGGUGAAGUCGUAACAAGGUACC